GUGGCCCCAGACAGCAGUCUUGCCACCAGGACAACUGUUCAUAUCGACUGCAUCAUGUUGGCUCAUAACCCCGGUGGGAAAGAGAGAACUGAAAAGGAAUUUGAGGCAUUAGCCAAGGGAGCUGGAUUUCAGGGUUUUCGAGUGGUAUGUGAAGCCUUCAAUACCCAUGUGAUGGAAUUCUUGAAGAGCGCCUAAAAGCCAAGUUUUCUCAAUAUUAUCUUC
rnacentral:misc_RNA from 1 species